AAUGGGUCAGCGACUUAUAUUCUGUAGCAAGGUUAACCGAAUAGGGGAGCCGAAGGGAAACCGAGUCUUAACUGGGCGUUAAGUUGCAGGGUAUAGACCCGAAACCCGGUGAUCUAGCCAUGGGCAGGUUGAAGGUUGGGUAACACUAACUGGAGGACCGAACCGACUAAUGUUGAAAAAUUAGCGGAUGACUUGUGGCUGGGGGUGAAAGGCCAAUCAAACCGGGAGAUAGCUGGUUCUCCCCGAAAGCUAUUUAGGUAGCGCCUCGUGAAUUCAUCUCCGGGGGUAGAGCACUGUUUCGGCAAGGGGGUCAUCCCGACUUACCAACCCGAUGCAAACUGCGAAUACCGGAGAAUGUUAUCACGGGAGACACACGGCGGGUGCUAACGUCCGUCGUGAAGAGGGAAACAACCCAGACCGCCAGCUAAGGUCCCAAAGUCAUGGUUAAGUGGGAAACGAUGUGGGAAGGCCCAGACAGCCAGGAUGUUGGCUUAGAAGCAGCCAUCAUUUAAAGAAAGCGUAAUAGCUCACUGGUCGAGUCGGCCUGCGCGGAAGAUGUAACGGGGCUAAACCAUGCACCGAAGCUGCGGCAGCGACACUAUGUGUUGUUGGGUAGGGGAGCGUUCUGUAAGCCUGUGAAGGUGUGCUGUGAGGCAUGCUGGAGGUAUCAGAAGUGCGAAUGCUGACAUAAGUAACGAUAAAGCGGGUGAAAAGCCCGCUCGCCGGAAGACCAAGGGUUCCUGUCCAACGUUAAUCGGGGCAGGGUGAGUCGACCCCUAAGGCGAGGCCGAAAGGCGUAGUCGAUGGGAAACAGGUUAAUAUUCCUGUACUUGGUGUUACUGCGAAGGGGGGACGGAGAAGGCUAUGUUGGCCGGGCGACGGUUGUCCCGGUUUAAGCGUGUAGGCUGGUUUUCCAGGCAAAUCCGGAAAAUCAAGGCUGAGGCGUGAUGACGAGGCACUACGGUGCUGAAGCAACAAAUGCCCUGCUUCCAGGAAAAGCCUCUAAGCAUCAGGUAACAUCAAAUCGUACCCCAAACCGACACAGGUGGUCAGGUAGAGAAUACCAAGGCGCUUGAGAGAACUCGGGUGAAGGAACUAGGCAAAAUGGUGCCGUAACUUCGGGAGAAGGCACGCUGAUAUGUAGGUGAAGCGACUUGCUCGUGGAGCUGAAAUCAGUCGAAGAUACCAGCUGGCUGCAACUGUUUAUUAAAAACACAGCACUGUGCAAACACGAAAGUGGACGUAUACGGUGUGACGCCUGCCCGGUGCCGGAAGGUUAAUUGAUGGGGUUAGCGGUAACGCGAAGCUCUUGAUCGAAGCCCCGGUAAACGGCGGCCGUAACUAUAACGGUCCUAAGGUAGCGAAAUUCCUUGUCGGGUAAGUUCCGACCUGCACGAAUGGCGUAAUGAUGGCCAGGCUGUCUCCACCCGAGACUCAGUGAAAUUGAACUCGCUGUGAAGAUGCAGUGUACCCGCGGCAAGACGGAAAGACCCCGUGAACCUUUACUAUAGCUUGACACUGAACAUUGAGCCUUGAUGUGUAGGAUAGGUGGGAGGCUUUGAAGUGUGGACGCCAGUCUGCAUGGAGCCGACCUUGAAAUACCACCCUUUAAUGUUUGAUGUUCUAACGUUGACCCGUGAUCCGGGUUGCGGACAGUGUCUGGUGGGUAGUUUGACUGGGGCGGUCUCCUCCUAAAGAGUAACGGAGGAGCACGAAGGUUGGCUAAUCCUGGUCGGACAUCAGGAGGUUAGUGCAAUGGCAUAAGCCAGCUUGACUGCGAGCGUGACGGCGCGAGCAGGUGCGAAAGCAGGUCAUAGUGAUCCGGUGGUUCUGAAUGGAAGGGCCAUCGCUCAACGGAUAAAAGGUACUCCGGGGAUAACAGGCUGAUACCGCCCAAGAGUUCAUAUCGACGGCGGUGUUUGGCACCUCGAUGUCGGCUCAUCACAUCCUGGGGCUGAAGUAGGUCCCAAGGGUAUGGCUGUUCGCCAUUUAAAGUGGUACGCGAGCUGGGUUUAGAACGUCGUGAGACAGUUCGGUCCCUAUCUGCCGUGGGCGCUGGAGAACUGAGGGGGGCUGCUCCUAGUACGAGAGGACCGGAGUGGACGCAUCACUGGUGUUCGGGUUGUCAUGCCAAUGGCACUGCCCGGUAGCUAAAUGCGGAAGAGAUAAGUGCUGAAAGCAUCUAAGCACGAAACUUGCCCCG
rnacentral:rRNA from 1 species